rnacentral:lncRNA from 1 species
CCCCCGACCUUUAACCAAAGCCAACCAGCUAGCUCCCUCCUUUGAUUGAGUUCCCCAUCUCCCCGUCAUCUGCCUCUUGCAGCCAAAUCAACCUCCUCUACAGCCGGUUUUCACUGCUUACUCAUAACCAAGAGAACCCCUUUCAGCCAUGGGAAUCUACUCCCUUCUCCCCAUUUUUCCAAGACUGUAGCCGCAGCCUUCUCCUUCAAAAAAUCCAGCCGGUUCCUCCUCUGGCCGUUCCUUCCUUCAUCUUCCCUGCUUGAAACCGAACUCAUUCCUUCCUUCAUCUCCCCUGCACGUCGGCCUUCAGAAUCUCCUCCUCAGCCACGGCUGCUUCUCCUUCGGUUUCCUUCCACAACAGCGAUGACCGAACAGAUCCAGCGCCGGGGCAACACUGUCAUCAUCUCCUUCAACCGGUGGAAGACCCACGGACCCCCUCACACUCCUCUCAGUCGGUCGUCGCCGAAGAAGUAGCUCCACAAGACCGGCCUCCACCAAGCCACCGAUCGGUAGCCGAUCUCCUUAGCAUCGUCGUCGUCUCCUUCCCCCAUCACAGCAACGCCGCCGCUCCUCUCAACGCUGCUUUGUCCACAACAGAUCUG